GAUUUUGGGGACAGUCUGACUCUGGUUAUCUACAAAGUUGAGUUAUGAAACUGGCCCUUUUGAGCUUUACCUCUGCACAUUAACUGAUUUUGCCUACAGUAAAUUGAAAUAACUGAAGAAUGUCAAAGAAACCCAGGAAUUUUCUCACACAGGACCAGGCAUGAUUGAAGAACACCAUCACACAAGUGCUCAAAAUCUUUCCCAAGAUCCUCUGAGGAAGACACCAAAUUGCAGUUGAAGUAACUGCAUGGUGAAAAGCAACAACAACAAACCACUUCACUCCUCUGGGUGGAAACAUGCAAUUGUACCAAGAAGGAUAAGGAAAAAGCUGCUCACAUUUGGAGAAAAAAGUUGGAAUAAGGGAAUGAGAGCAGAUGGGAUACUCUGGCAUCUCACUCAAGAGAUGUGAGAACUCAGUACAUUCUUUGGAAAAGUAGGACUGUGAGGCUAAGCCAAGGCCUUUAGUAUGAAGUCCCAGUGGUCUGGAUGGGCUAGGAAUCCUCUUUUUGGACUUCAGAUCCUAGAAGGGGUAGUAGCUGCUCCCACAACUUGCCCUGCCCUUCCAUCCUACAGUCAGUCUGGAACUUUAGAGAACUGAUCUGUUGAUGAACCUGGAUUCCAGCGUUUCUUAUUGUGAACUUGGAAUGUCACAAUGGCAUUAGAUACAAUGAUGCAGAGAGAGUCCAUGUGGUAAUUCAAUGGAAGCUUUACCCCUGACAACAAUGGAAGCCCCAAGGUCUGCUGGCCAAAUGGCCUUAUUCAGAGCACCAGGACCUGCCAUUAUUAAAGUGCUCUGUUGCAUUCCA